rnacentral:miRNA from 1 species
AGACGAUUAAGAAGACCUGCAA